GGGCGAGUAGCUCAGUUGGUUAGAGCACAGGACUUAUAAACCUGCGGUCGGUGGUUCAACCCCACCCUCGCCCACCA
rnacentral:tRNA from 1 species